rnacentral:lncRNA from 1 species
GUUAUCAGGAAAAUCAGAAUCUGUAUUUUUGUCACAUUCCCAAUUCCCAUUCGUUAUUCGUUAGACUCGGACGAGGACUCGGUUCUUAAAUGAUUAUAUAUUUUUACCAAGUUUGCAGCUCUAUCGGCACCUAAUCUGUUGCGAAGCUUAGUCCAUAUUAAUCCAUAUGAAGAAAAAA